rnacentral:rRNA from 1 species
GACGAACGCUGGCGGCGUGCUUAACACAUGCAAGUCGAACGGAAAGGCCCUGCUUUUGUGGGGUGCUCGAGUGGCGAACGGGUGAGUAACACGUGAGUAACCUGCCCUUGACUUUGGGAUAACUUCAGGAAACUGGGGCUAAUACCGGAUAGGAGCUCCUGUUGCAUGGUGGGGGUUGGAAAGUUUCGGCGGUUGGGGAUGGACUCGCGGCUUAUCAGCUUGUUGGUGGGGUAGUGGCUUACCAAGGCUUUGACGGGUAGCCGGCCUGAGAGGGUGACCGGCCACAAUGGGACUGAGAUACGGCCCAGACUCCUACGGGAGGCAGCAGUGGGGAAUAUUGCACAAUGGUCGGAAGCCUGAUGCAGCGACGCCGCGUGCGGGAUGACGGCCUUCGGGUUGUAAACCGCUUUCGCCUGUGACGAAGCGUGAGUGACGGUAAUGAGUAAAGAAGCACCGGCUAACUACGUG